rnacentral:rRNA from 1 species
AUUGAACGCUGGCGGCAGGCCUAACACAUGCAAGUCGAGCGGAGCGGCGGACGGGCGGGUAAUGCCUAGGAAUCGGCCUGGCAGUGGGGGAGAACGUCCGGCAACGGGCGCUAAUACCGCAUACUAUCAGACGGGUCUAGGUCGGAUUAGCUAGGUGGUGGGGUAAAGGCCUACCAAGGCGACGAUCCGUAACUGGUCUGAGAGGAUGAUCAGUCACACUGGGACUGAGACACGGUCCAGACUCCUACGGGAGGCAGCAGUGGGGAAUAUUGGACAAUGGGCGAAAGCCUGAUGCAGCCAUGCCGCGUGUAUGAAGAAGGUCUUCGGAUUGUAAAGCACUUUAAGUUGGGAGGCGUUACCGACAGAAUAAGCACCGGCUAACUUCGUGCCAGCAGCCGCGGUAAUAC